rnacentral:rRNA from 1 species
ACUGCUCAGUAACACGUAGUCAACCUGCCCUCGGGAUGAGAACAAUCUCGGGAAACUGAGGCUAAUUCUCGGUAGGUCAAGAUUUCCUGGAAUGGGUUUUGGCUCAAAAGGAGUAACAGCAUCUUGUUACUUCGCCCGAGGAUGGGACUGCGGCCGAUCAGGCUGUUGGUGAGGUAAAGGCCCACCAAACCAGUAACCGGUACGGGCUUUGAGAGAAGGAGCCCGGAGAUGGACACUGAGACAAGGGUCCAGGUCCUACGGGGCGCAGCAGGCGCGAAACCUUCGCAAUGUGCGAAAGCAUGACGAGGUUAGUCCGAGUGAUUUCCGCUGAGGAAGUCUUUUGCCGGCUCUAAAAAGGCCGGUGAAUAAGGGGAGGGCAAGCCUGGUGUCAGCCGCCGCGGUAAUACCAGCUCCUCGAGUGGUCAGGGCGAUUAUUGGGCCUAAAGCAUCCGUAGCUUGUUCAGUAGGUCUCCUGCAAAAUCCAAUCGCUUAACGGUUGGUCCGCAGGAGAUACCGCUGGACUAGGAGGCGGGAGAGGUGGACGGUACUCCACGUGUAGGGGUAAAAUCCUUUGAUCCGUGGAAGACCACCAGUGGCGAAGGCGGUCUGCCAGAACGCGCUCGACGGUGAGGGGUGAAAGCUGGGGGAGCGAACCGGAUUAGAUACCCGGGUAGUCCCAGCCGUAAACGAUGCGAGCUAGAUGAUUCGAUCGCAUAACGCGAUCGAAGUGUCGCAGGGAAGCCGUUAAGCUCGCCGCCUGGGGAGUACGGUCGCAAGGCUGAAUUGUAAGCGGAUAUUCCGCUUGCACAGUUCACUUAAAGGAAUUGGCGGGGGAGCAC